GGCCCCAUAGCCAAGUUGGUUUAAGGCAUUGGACUGCAAAUCCAAGAACGUGGGUUCGAAUCCCAUUGGGGUCU
rnacentral:tRNA from 1 species